rnacentral:lncRNA from 1 species
AUUAACAUUAAAAGACAUUUUUGUUUAAAGAACGUGCAUGUGAAUUUUAUAUUGAAAAAAAUGUAAAAUAGUGUGAACGUAUUUAUCUAAAGUUUGGCUGAAAAACUUUGUGCAUGUAACAGUGUACUCGUUCUCAAAUCGGUGUAAAAUUACCACAUGACAAACGUAAUAUGAAUACAUUAAAUGACAAUGCUUCUCUUUUAAUAUACUGGAUAUAUAGUUUCUAUAAGUAUAGGCACUUUCUUCUUAUUUUUUGACAAAUGAGCUUUUUUUUUUUUUUUUUUUGAAUGAAUGUAAAAUUUUAUUCAAUCAAACUGUACUACAUCAAGUGCUACUUCUUUAUUUUUUGUACAAAUAAUCAAAAAAUGGAGAUUUGAUUCAAACUACCAGUCUCAUCUAGACCCAAACCAGACCAUCAAACUCUCUUCAAAAUGUUUGUGCCCUGUUCCUUUAACAGACAGGAGCUUAAGCCUGAUUGUCUUGUCGAUAAACUGGACCAAACGAGCUGCAUCAUGUGGCUGUUGACCAUGCCUACGCGAGUUUCUUUCUCUUCAAAUGAGCUUUCACUAUAUAUGUACUUAUUUUAGCUAUAUCGGAUUAAGUAAAUUAGUAAUGGAAUGACUCAUAAGAUUUUACGAAAAUUAGUCCAAUAGCCUUAAAAUAAUCAAGAAUUAACAAGCCAACACCAUAAUUUUGUUAUUAGCUAUCAACCGAAUCUUUACUGUCGAAACCAGGAUUUUCCUAUCAUACUGCUCGAAAUAGAGACUACAAGACUUACUCAAUUUAUAGGUAUUUA